CCUACGGGUGGCAGCAGUGAGGAAUAUUGGUCAAUGGACGAGAGUCUGAACCAGCCAAGUAGCGUGAAGGAUGACUGCCCUAUGGGUUGUAAACUUCUUUUAUCUGGGAAUAAAAUGUUCCACGUGUGGGCUUUUGUAUGUACCCUAUGAAUAAGGAUCGGCUAACUCCGUGCCAGCAGCCGCGGUAAUUCGGAGGGUCCGAGCGUUAUCCGGAUUUAUUGGGUUUAAAGGGAGCGUAGGUGGAUUGUUAAGUCAGUUGUGAAAGUUUGCGGCUCAACCGUAAAAUUGCAGUUGAAACUGGCAGUCUUGAGUACAGUAGAGGUGGGCGGAAUUCGUGGUGUAGCGGUGAAAUGCUUAGAUAUCACGAAGAACUCCGAUUGCGAAGGCAGCUCACUGGACUGCAACUGACACUGAGGCUCGAAAGUGUGGGUAUCAAACAGGAUUAGAUACCCGUGUAGUC
rnacentral:rRNA from 1 species